rnacentral:rRNA from 1 species
UACGGGGGGGGCAAGCGUUGUUCGGAAUUACUGGGCGUAAAGGGCUCGUAGGCGGCCAACUAAGUCAGACGUGAAAUCCCUCGGCUUAACCGGGGAACUGCGUCUGAUACUGGAUGGCUUGAGGUUGGGAGAGGGAUGCGGAAUUCCAGGUGUAGCGGUGAAAUGCGUAGAUAUCUGGAGGAACACCGGUGGCGAAGGCGGCAUCCUGGACCAAUACUGACGCUGAGGAGCGAAAGCCAGGGGAGCAAACGGG